rnacentral:rRNA from 1 species
UACGAAGGGGGCUAGCGUUGCUCGGAAUCACUGGGCGUAAAGCGCACGUAGGCGGCUUACUAAGUCAGGGGUGAAAUCCUGGAGCUCAACUCCAGAACUGCCUUUGAUACUGAGGAUCUUGAGUUCGGGAGAGGUGAGUGGAACUGCGAGUGUAGAGGUGAAAUUCGUAGAUAUUCGCAAGAACACCAGUGGCGAAGGCGGCUCACUGGCCCGAUACUGACGCUGAGGCACGAAAGCGUGGGGAGCAAACAGG